rnacentral:lncRNA from 1 species
AUAUAUAUAUAUAUAUGCACAUAUGUAUACAUUUAUGCUCGUAUAUACCCGUUAUAUUUAAUUAAGAUAAAACAUAAUAUUGUCCUUUUUUUAUCUUAUUUUAUUUUUUUCUUUAAAGAAGAUGAUACACUAACCCACAAAUAUCCGUUAAAAAAACUUAUUACAUAAAAUAAUGAGUUUAGAAAAUGAAAAAAAAAAAUUGCUAAAAUUUUUGGAAAAUAAAAACAACACAGAAUUGGAAUACAAAAAGGCUUUACAAACUCAAGCCGCAGUUGCUAAGUCUGAGAAUAAAAAAUCUGAAUUUUACGAAAACGAAUGGUUACACAUGAAAUCGAUUGAAUAUUCUUGCAUGAAUAAUAAAAAGGAACAAUUUAGAAAAACGUUAGAACUACUUUAUAAAGACCCUAAAAUAUGUGAAAAAUUAGGAAACCUUACAGAGUCUCAAAAAUUGUGUAUUACAAAUGUGUUAAAGGACCAAAAUAAAUUAGUCAAAGAAUUAAAUACUACCUCGAAAAAAUACCAAGAAGCAGUGGAUGCAAAUUUUAAAUUAUAUCAACAAAACGAAAUGCUUAAGAUUCAAAAUGCAAGUCUUGUUAAAAAAAAUAAAGAUAUAAUAAAUGAAGAACUGGAAAAAAAAUUAACUGCAUUAAAUGAAUCGCUUAUUAAUGUUCAAGCGGAAAAUAUUGAGCUUACAGAUAAAAUUGAACAAUAUUCAAAGUUAAUAAAAAACGUAAAAAAGCUGCACAGAGGUAAAUCAUAUACAUAUACAUAUAUAUAUAUAUAUAUACAAAUCAUUAAUUGUUUUGUUUUUAUAUACCAACAUGUGUGCACAACUGUACUGCUUUUUUAUCUUAAUUUAUAUAGUUAUAAGUUUCAGAUAUUCAUAUGUUAUGUUUAUUUAAUUAACCGUUUGUCAAGUUUGCCUGUCUUAUUAUUACUUUAUUUUAUUUUACUUUUUUUAUUGCUUUUAGAUUAAUUAUGUUGUGGAAGAGCUAAAAAAUUUUGAAAAUUGUUUGUUAAUUUAAGGAAAGGUGAAUAACGGCAUAUUAUAUAUAUUUAGUAAAUUUUCAAGAAACAUGAAAAUGAUAUUUAUUUAUUUUCUGAGUAUAUAUAAUUUAUAAAUUAUUUAAAAAAAAAAAAAAAAAAAAAAAAAAAAAAAAAAAAAAACUAUAAUUUUUAAUAUUAAUUAUAAAAAAAGUUUUAAUCUUACAUGCUUUUUUUUAUUAUAUUUGUUCGUUUUAGUCUUUGCCUUAGUGGGAUCAUCACUUGUUCUAGCAUGUUCUAACACGUGUUUUAACCCGCUUUUUUUUUUUUUUUUUUUUUUUAUGU